AAGGUCCCAAAGUCAUGGUUAAGUGGGAAACGAUGUGGGAAGGCCCAGACAGCCAGGAUGUUGGCUUAGAAGCAGCCAUCAUUUAAAGAAAGCGUAAUAGCUCACUGGUCGAGUCGGCCUGCGCGGAAGAUGUAACGGGGCUAAACCAUGCACCGAAGCUGCGGCAGCGACACUAUGUGUUGUUGGGUAGGGGAGCGUUCUGUAAGCCUGUGAAGGUGUACUGUGAGGGUUGCUGGAGGUAUCAGAAGUGCGAAUGCUGACAUAAGUAACGAUAAAGCGGGUGAAAAGCCCGCUCGCCGGAAGACCAAGGGUUCCUGUCCAACGUUAAUCGGGGCAGGGUGAGUCGACCCCUAAGGCGAGGCCGAAAGGCGUAGUCGAUGGGAAACAGGUUAAUAUUCCUGUACUUGGUGUUACUGCGAAGGGGGGACGGAGAAGGCUAUGUUGGCCGGGCGACGGUUGUCCCGGUUUAAGCGUGUAGGCUGGUUUUCCAGGCAAAUCCGGAAAAUCAAGGCUGAGGCGUGAUGACGAGGCACUACGGUGCUGAAGCGACAAAUGCCCUGCUUCCAGGAAAAGCCUCUAAGCAUCAGGUAACAUCAAAUCGUACCCCAAACCGACACAGGUGGUCAGGUAGAGAAUACCAAGGCGCUUGAGAGAACUCGGGUGAAGGAACUAGGCAAAAUGGUGCCGUAACUUCGGGAGAAGGCACGCUGAUAUGUAGGUGAAGCGACUUGCUCGUGGAGCUGAAAUCAGUCGAAGAUACCAGCUGGCUGCAACUGUUUAUUAAAAACACAGCACUGUGCAAACACGAAAGUGGACGUAUACGGUGUGACGCCUGCCCGGUGCCGGAAGGUUAAUUGAUGGGGUUAGCGGUAACGCGAAGCUCUUGAUCGAAGCCCCGGUAAACGGCGGCCGUAACUAUAACGGUCCUAAGGUAGCGAAAUUCCUUGUCGGGUAAGUUCCGACCUGCACGAAUGGCGUAAUGAUGGCCAGGCUGUCUCCACCCGAGACUCAGUGAAAUUGAACUCGCUGUGAAGAUGCAGUGUACCCGCGGCAAGACGGAAAGACCCCGUGAACCUUUACUAUAGCUUGACACUGAACAUUGAGCCUUGAUGUGUAGGAUAGGUGGGAGGCUUUGAAGUGUGGACGCCAGUCUGCAUGGAGCCGACCUUGAAAUACCACCCUUUAAUGUUUGAUGUUCUAACGUGGGCCCCUUACCGGGGUUGCGGACAGUGUCUGGUGGGUAGUUUGACUGGGGCGGUCUCCUCCUAAAGAGUAACGGAGGAGCACGAAGGUUGGCUAAUCCUGGUCGGACAUCAGGAGGUUAGUGCAAUGGCAUAAGCCAGCUUGACUGCGAGCGUGACGGCGCGAGCAGGUGCGAAAGCAGGUCAUAGUGAUCCGGUGGUUCUGAAUGGAAGGGCCAUCGCUCAACGGAUAAAAGGUACUCCGGGGAUAACAGGCUGAUACCGCCCAAGAGUUCAUAUCGACGGCGGUGUUUGGCACCUCGAUGUCGGCUCAUCACAUCCUGGGGCUGAAGUAGGUCCCAAGGGUAUGGCUGUUCGCCAUUUAAAGUGGUACGCGAGCUGGGUUUAGAACGUCGUGAGACAGUUCGGUCCCUAUCUGCCGUGGGCGCUGGAGAACUGAGGGGGGCUGCUCCUAGUACGAGAGGACCGGAGUGGACGCAUCACUGGUGUUCGGGUUGUCAUGCCAAUGGCACUGCCCGGUAGCUAAAUGCGGAAGAGAUAAGUGCUGAAAGCAUCUAAGCACGAAACUUGCCCCGAGAUGAGUUCUCCCUGACUCCUUGAGAGUCCUGAAGGAACGUUGAAGACGACGACGUUGAUAGGCCGGGUGUGUAAGCGCAGCGAUGCGUUGAGCUAACCGGUACUAAUGAACCGUGAGGCUUAACCUU
rnacentral:rRNA from 1 species